rfam:Haemonchus contortus, ISE/inbred ISE, WGS project CAVP01000000 data, contig: Hcontortus_15646
GGCCCAAAUCUGAAGUAGAGUAGAUAAGUGAGGUCAGCUGAUCCUACUAAUCUACUGUACUUCAAAUUUGGGCCC